GGGAAAAAAGAGUAACAAAUGAGCGCAAAAACAAUAAAAGAAGGUGGCAAGUUGCCACUAAGCAAGAAUUAUGACUUCAAUGAAGGUGGGACGAGGUUUAGCCGGCUUAUCCGAGAGCUGGCAGGAUAUUUGGGCGACUGGAAUGAUUCUGGAAAGUGGAAUGAUGUCUUAGGGAUCAGUGGCGGGUUUUAGGUCAACUAUGAUACAACUGAAGGUUAUGAUGAUAAGUGGAAGCAGGUUUUUGGCAGGUUUUACAAAAAUUUUCUGUCACUCACCCGUUAAAUAAGAGUUAAUUUAAUUUAUUGUUUGAUAUUGAAGCUAAAUUAUGCGCAUAUGGAGGACUUCAGUAAACGCCAGUAAAAUGUGUUUGAUUGAAGUGUUUUAGUUUGCAGUAUGAAUAUCAGGGAUUUUUAGAAAAGUUGUUCCCAACUAAUUGUAUUUCUCGUUGCUUUUAAUGGAAAGUGUAAACGUGUGCUGUAGGCGGAGGGCCGAUUUGCUAAAGCUAAAAGUAGAGAAAAUUAUAUAUCAACACAAAAUCCCAGAUGAAUGGCGAACCAGCACUACUGUGCUAAUGUUCAAAAAAAGGAGACAGGAGGAUACCAUCAAAUUAUAGAGGAAUAAACCUUUUAAGCACUGCUCUAAAACUAGCAACUAAAGUAAUUACGAACAAAAUCAACAAUCUUACAUUGGAACUAUUAUUUCCGAGGCUCAAAUCCGGUGCGGAGUGUGAAUUUUCAAAAAUAAAAACUCGAACAAAACUGGUUGGACCGGAUACUUCCAAAAAUAAAUUUUGAAACUAAGCUUAAUUAUAACGAAAAGUUGCAAAAUAUUGCAUACAACUUGUGAAUUACAAUGAAAAAUUUUAGAAGACAUCGAAAAACAGCAGGAAAGAAAGUCUGCAAGAAAUCUGUCAGAAAAAAGAAAAGAUGAAAACAAGAGAUUUCAAAAGCAAUGUGAUCCUGCAAUUUGCAGUCAAAAAGAGCUACUAUAAGUAGUUGAGAAUAGAAAGCAAUGAAAAAUA